AUAUUGGACAAUGGGGGCAACCCUGAUCCAGCCACGCCGCGUGUGUGAAGAAGGUCUUCGGAUUGUAAAGCACUUUAAGUUGGGAGGAAGGGCUUUAGGUUAGUACCCUGCAGUUUUGCCGUUACCAACAGAAUAAGCACCGGCAAAGUACGUGCCAGCAGCCGCGGUAAUACAGAGGGUGCAAGCGUUAAUCGGAAUUACUGGGCGUAAAGCGCGCGUAGGUGGUUCAGUAAGAUGGGUGUGAAAUACCCGGGCUUAACCUGGGAACUGCUUUCAUAACUGCUGAGCUAGAGUACGGUAGAGGGUAGUGGAAUUUCCUGUGUAGCGGUGAAAUGCGUAGAUAUAGGAAGGAACACCAGUGGCGAAGGCGACUACCUGGACUGAUACUGACACUGAGGUACGAAAGCGUGGGGAGCAAAC
rnacentral:rRNA from 1 species